UUCUCUCUCAUUGUUAUUGUUUUACCAUACCCGGAUUUUGACCCGACUACAUAAACUCCUUAAUUAACCUAAUUACUCAUUCGCCUCAUUCAACAAUGCUGCUGUGCAAAACACGAAACUUACGACAUUCUCACAUCAGAUUUUGAAGCUGCAAACAAAAGAUGACCAGGGAUAGAAUUUCGCAGUAGUCAGUGGGACAGUGCACGUCCAGAAAAGUUUUUGACGAAUUAGGUAAGUAUCAAAAAUUUACUUCUUGUUCCGGUUCUAAAGCAUGUCCAGCGUUCUCAUUACUUAGAUUUAUGAUGCUGUAUCAAAAAUAUUAGCAUUUGAGGUGAUAGAUAGGGGGUUGGGUAAUGGUUGAAUACGGGUUCAUGGUGCUGACAUUAGUAUUUGUGGCCCAAAUGUGAACCUACAGCGUGCAGCCCUAAUAUGCACCCACUGUGACCCGUAUUGGACCCCUAAAUUAAAAUUCUAUCAUUCAUUUGCAAGUAGAUGCCUUAAAUGCUUUAAUAUAGUUUGUUUUACCUGUUAAGCCUAAUAACAAUAAACUUCAUGACGCCCCUGCUCCUAGCAAAGCUUACGAGGAGAGCAAAAAUCAGGCCUUAAUUGAUACACCAACGGUGGGUUGUCAGUAAUGAGAUUUCUGAUAUUUAGUUUUGUGUUUGUGAUGUUUUGAUUUUAAGUCAGGGGACUGAUAUUAGCAUGUUGACUUGCAACCGUUUUUUCCAUUUGUGUUUAAGAUGGAAUUUUGCUUCUGGAGGUGAACAGGAUGCUAAGGGCAGGAGGAUACUUUGUCUGGGCUGCGCAGCCUGUUUAUAAACAUGAAAAUAAGCUUCAAGAACAGUGGAAAAGUAAUUAUUUUAAUCCAGCACUAAGCGAAGUUACAAAAUAUGCUUAUUACAAGUUUUAAUAACAUAUAUAUCCUUUGCUUACAUAAGAUAGUGGUUAGAUCAAGUAUCUUACACCUCCAAGUUAUGAAUUUUAAAUUCUUUUAAUCAAUGUUUUUUUAUCUUUUUCCCUGUUUCAAAAUCCAUUUUUUUGAUGAACUCAACUGCAGAAAUGGAGAAUCUUACUAGUCGGUUAUGUUGGGAGCAACCUAAGCAUUCCACGUGGUCGCGGAGAGGACACAUGUCACCCCAUGGUUAAGCCACCUAAGCAUUCCACGUAGAAUCUUCUAUUGGAAAAAAAAAUCUAGAUCAGGAAGAGUGGUCCUUCCGCCUUUGGAAUUCUAGCGCAACCAAAAGGUCAUUUAUGAUGAGGAGGCAAGAUUGAGCAGGUGAACGAUCAAGAGGAAGAAGACGAGGAUGAUGGUUAUGGCGACUUUGUGAAAACUUAUGAUGAUUUAUCACUGCCAUCUUUGAAGCUCUGAUUUAAAUGUGUUUAAAUUGUGCUAAUCGUUCCUUCUGGUGGUGGGCGACUUCGUCAUUCAAGCCACUUAUCCUUCCUACAAGAGGAUGAAGCCAAGGGGUCACAAAAAUAACAAAUAGUUAAAAAAAUAUGUUUGCCGAUUUAAGGAAUCUUGCAAAAUAUACCACUCAUGUUGCUCGUAUGACCCCCUCACUAUUUGUCUGUUAUUCCAUCUAGCUGCUUAAUAAUUUUCAUUGUGACAACUGGUUGACCUCAAACUGGACAAAUCUGUCGCUGGCCACUGCGGAUUGGUUGGGUCUGUUGGUGUUUGUCGCUUCUGCACCCUUGGCUACACCAAACUCAUCCUCUGCGCGCAGUCUGAGUUAGACGUUACCAAAUUUCAAAUCAAUGCAACUUCCAACAAGAUUUAGGUUUAUCACUAAUUGCUAUACAAUUGAGACCAUUAAAGAUGGGAAGCCUCUUCGUGGAGUUUUGUUCUCAAACAACCCAUACUCCAAAAAGUCAGCUGCUAAUGAUUUAAGAAGGAAGAGUUGCAGUUGACAAUGGGAAAAGGUUUUUGAGCAUCUUAUGAAAGAUACCAUAAGAACUCCUGAACACUAGACUUCCAGGUGCCACCUCAGCUACUGCGAAUAUGAAAAUUUAAGCAGCUUCUAACGUGUCUAUCACAUGAGGUGAUGUCAUUACAUUUGGAUAAAAAGUACUCUCGGUCAAUCAAGCUGACUCGAAUCAACCUGAACCCACACAUAAUUACUCUUUUGACCUGUUUCCUAACCUGGCUUUCGGCCCAUCUUUCCUAAAUCGUUAUCUUUCUGUUUAUUGUUUUUCGCCCAGAACUGGCAGCACCGGUGGUGGUGGAGUGAGGAAACAGUCAAACAAAAGAGACACAAGAAGGAUAACUAAAGAUGAAAAUUGACAUGGUAAAAGUCCAUGGGGUUUAUUCUUGCCGUUUGUCCUGGAUUAAAUCAACAAUUGAAAUCAGUGUUUUUUCACAGUAACAGUAUGCUCCUUAUAAGUUGUUAUUUAAAAUUCAAAGUGGCUACUAUUCGAACUAUUGAUGCAGCAUACCAUUAUUCUUUGUGGAUA